AUGCACGCUGGCGGCGUGCCUAAUACAUGCAAGUCGAGCGAACAGAUGAGGAGCUUGCUCCUCUGACGUUAGCGGCGGACGGGUGAGUAACACGUGGAUAACCUACCUAUAAGACUGGGAUAACUUCGGAAACCGGAGCUAAUACCGGAUAAUAUAUUGAACCGCAUGGUUCAAUAGUGAAAGACGGGUUUGCUGUCACUUAUAGGUGGAUCCGCGCCGCAUUAGCUAGUUGGUAAGGUAACGGCUUACCAAGGCAACGAUGCGUAGCCGACCUGAGAGGGUGAUCGGCCACACUGGAACUGAGACACGGUCCAGACUCCUACGGGAGGCAGCAGUAGGGAAUCUUCCGCAAUGGGCGAAAGCCUGACGGAGCAACGCCGCGUGAGUGAUGAAGGUCUUCGGAUCGUAAAACUCUGUUAUUAGGGAAGAACAAAUGUGUAAGUAACUAUGCACGUCUUGACGGUACCUAAUCAGAAAGCCACGGCUAACUACGUG
rnacentral:rRNA from 1 species